rnacentral:rRNA from 1 species
UGAGGAAUAUUGGACAAUGGGUGAAAGCCUGAUCCAGCCAUCCCGCGUGAAGGACGACGGCCCUAUGGGUUGUAAACUUCUUUUGUAUAGGAAUAAACCCAGAUACGUGUAUCUGGCUGAAGGUACUAUACGAAUAAGCACCGGCUAACUCCGUGCCAGCAGCCGCGGUAAUACGGAGGGUGCGAGCGUUAUCCGGAUUUAUUGGGUUUAAAGGGUCCGUAGGCGGACCUGUAAGUCAGUGGUGAAAUCUCAUAGCUUAACUAUGAAACUGCCAUUGAUACUGCAGGUCUUGAGUGAAUUUGAGGUAGCUGGAAUAAGUAGUGUAGCGGUGAAAUGCAUAGAUAUUACUUAGAACACCAAUUGCGAAGGCAGGUUACCAAGAUUCAACUGACGCUAAGGGACGAAAGCGUGGGGAGCGAACA